AACGAACGCUGGCGGCAUGCCUAACACAUGCAAGUCGAACGAGAUCUUCGGGUCUAGUGGCGCACGGGUGCGUAACGCGUGGGAAACUGCCCUUUGGUUCGGAAUAACAGUUGGAAACGACUGCUAAUACCGGAUGAUGACGAAAGUCCAAAGAUUUAUCGCCAGAGGAUGAGCCCGCGUAGGAUUAGCUAGUUGGUGUGGUAAAGGCGCACCAAGGCGACGACCCUUAGCUGGUCUGAGAGGAUGAUCAGCCACACUGGGACUGAGACACGGCCCAGACUCCUACGGGAGGCAGCAGUGGGGAAUAUUGGACAAUGGGCGAAAGCCUGAUCCAGCAACGCCGCGUGAGUGAUGAAGGCCUUAGGGUUGUAAAGCUCUUUUACCCGGGAUGAUAAUGACAGUACCGGGAGAAUAAGCUCCGGCUAACUCCGUGCCAGCAGCCGCGGUAA
rnacentral:rRNA from 1 species